AACGAACGCUGGCGGCAUGCCUAACACAUGCAAGUCGAACGAGACCUUCGGGUCUAGUGGCGCACGGGUGCGUAACGCGUGGGAAUCUGCCCUUGGGUUCGGAAUAACAGCGAGAAAUUGCUGCUAAUACCGGAUGAUGACGUAAGUCCAAAGAUUUAUCGCCCAAGGAUGAGCCCGCGUAGGAUUAGCUAGUUGGUGAGGUAAAGGCUCACCAAGGCGACGAUCCUUAGCUGGUCUGAGAGGAUGAUCAGCCACACUGGGACUGAGACACGGCCCAGACUCCUACGGGAGGCAGCAGUGGGGAAUAUUGGACAAUGGGCGAAAGCCUGAUCCAGCAAUGCCGCGUGAGUGAUGAAGGCCUUAGGUUGUAAAGCUCUUUACCCGGGAUGAUAAUGACAGUACCGGAGAAUAAGCUCCGGCUAACUCCGUGCCAGCAGCCGCGGU
rnacentral:rRNA from 1 species